UACGGAGGGUGCAAGCGUUAUCCGGAUUCACUGGGUUUAAAGGGUGCGUAGGCGGGCAGGUAAGUCAGUGGUGAAAUCUCCAAGCUUAACUUGGAAACUGCCAUUGAUACUAUUUGUCUUGAAUACUGUGGAGGUCAGCGGAAUAUGUCAUGUAGCGGUGAAAUGCUUAGAUAUGACAUAGAACACCAAUUGCGAAGGCAGCUGGCUACACAAAUAUUGACACUGAGGCACGAAAGCGUGGGGAUCAAACAGG
rnacentral:rRNA from 1 species